CAAAAACAUGUCUUUUUGAGUUAUUUUUAAAGUCUGACCUGCCCACUGAAAUUGUUUAAAUGGCCGCAGUAUUUUAACUGUGCAAAGGUAGCAUAAUCAUUAGUCUUUUAAUUGAAGGCUGGUAUGAACGGUUGGACGAGGUAUAAGCUGUUUCAUAUAAAUUUAUAAUAGAAUUUUAUAUUUUAGUCAAAAAGCUAAAAUAUAUUUAAAAGACGAGAAGACCCUAUAAAUCUUUAUAUUUUGUGUUGUUUAAGUUUUUUGGGUUUGGUUUAUUUUUAUAAUAUAAAAUAUUUUGUUGGGGUGAUAUUAAAAUUUAAUUAACUUUUAAUUAUUUAAAAUCAUUAAUUUAUGAGUUAUUGAUCCAUUAAUAGUGAUUAUAAGAUUAAGUUACUUUAGGGAUAACAGCGUAAUUUUUUUGGAGAGUUCAUAUCGAUAAAAAAGUUUGCGACCUCGAUGUUGGAUUAAGAUAUAAUUUUAGGUGUAGUCGCUUAAA
rnacentral:rRNA from 1 species